rnacentral:rRNA from 1 species
GAUGAACGCUGGCGGCGUGCCUAAUACAUGCAAGUCGAGCGAACGGACGAGAAGCUUGCUUCUCUGAUGUUAGCGGCGGACGGGUGAGUAACACGUGGAUAACCUACCUAUAAGACUGGGAUAACUUCGGGAAACCGGAGCUAAUACCGGAUAAUAUUUUGAACCGCAUGGUUCAAAAGUGAAAGACGGUCUUGCUGUCACUUAUAGAUUGAUCCGCGCUGCAUUAGCUAGUUGGUAAGGUAACGGCUUACCAAGGCAACGAUGCAUAGCCGACCUGAGAGGGUGAUCGGCCACACUGGAACUGAGACACGGUCCAGACUCCUACGGGAGGCAGCAGUAGGGAAUCUUCCGCAAUGGGCGAAAGCCUGACGGAGCAACGCCGCGUGAGUGAUGAAGGUCUUCGGAUCGUAAAACUCUGUUAUUAGGGAAGAACAUAUGUGUAAGUAACUGUGCACAUCUUGACGGUACCUAAUCAGAAAGCCACGGCUAACUACGUG